rnacentral:lncRNA from 1 species
GCAAAUGCUGAGUUUUUAUCGGGUUCAGCAAUCCUGAUGUCUGCACAGCUGAGAGAAAUAGCACUUCACAGUGAGUGUGAGUGUGCCUCUACAACUUUGACAAACCUCUCACCUGCCCUGGGGAGGAAGCAGCAGGGCUGGAAAGCUGUGGAGUCACAAUAUGCUGACUAAGGUUUGAAGUUACUGGUUUGCAGUGGAAGAUGUCUGUGGGCAGACAGUUUCCUCAGGUGCCACAGGAAUUGUCUGGAAUUUGCACAAUUGCUGAGCUGAACCGGAGAAACAUUUACUUCAUCUCGUUCCCCUUUCCUGGUGUGCAGAAGCAUCUCAGUCCCUUUUGUGAAGUUGCAGAGAUGCUUGGGAAGCCAAACACAAUCUUCAGAUUUAUCAAAGUGCAUUGCUUGCUUUUUGUCAACACUGCUGAUGUCAGCACAAACAACAGGCAAGCCAAGUGUGUGCAGUGUCUAUCUCAUACACACACAGAGUCUGGAUUUGGCUCAGCUCCUGCUGUACAGACAGUGGUGGUAUUAGUCUAUAAUGGUGUUGGAAUUAAGGGUAGAAGUCUAGGUGGCUGCUGGGCUUAAUAUUGAGCCAGUUGUCUCCAGGGCUGAACCCUGACCCAGUGCUGAGCAUUCCUGCAGGUGCAGAUCUUUGGGGCAGCACUGCAGCUGAGGAAGGCUUUUAUCUGGCUCAGGCUGGACACAGAGUGAAAGACCCUGUCACCAUGGAGUGCUCUGAGGGCUGCUGCUGUGUCUGCCACUCUCUAUACACAAUGACAAUAUAAAAGAGAAAGGGACAGCUCUUCAGGUGCUGUGCUGGGAGAGCAUAUUACAGAAAUAGAAACAGUUGAUCUAGCACUGCCCUCCUGUGGGUAGAGCUGCCUUCCCACAUGACACAGGAGCACCAAAAGUGCUUUUUCACAAAUGAGAGAGAGAGUAGUCUCCUCUUCUGCCAUUACUGGAGAAAUGCUUAAAUUAGUUAAUAAUUUUAAUGGUAAAGCUGUUUGUUUUUUUUUAAUCUGGAAAGCUAUGGCUGCUGUCCAAAUCAUCAAGGU